GAUGCUGUAACAAUUGUCAGGCCUCCAGGAGGCUGUUGAGCACAUCUUUCAGUGAGCUCACCCUGUGUCUAUUCUUGGUUUUGGAUGGGUGUUGUGGAUGGCAAAAGAUGAGAGAAGUGAGUCUCCUUCCUGAACAGUUGUGUCUUCAGACUCUGGCAAUGGGAGGCACAGAGGUGCCCUCUUUGCUGCUCCCUUUCCUAAAGUGCAGCCAGCUGGGGCUCAGCCGGACCCCACAGAUCAGAAAGGGCCACCUCAAGGUUGCUUUAAACUGAGGCUUAAUGGAAGUCCCUGCUCAUCAAACUGCGGAGUUUUCCCAGCAGGCAGUGACACUCCAACUGUGUCCUUCUCUUCCGAUUCCCUCCUUCCCUUUGCCUCCACCCCCUGUGCUUUUGGGGCUGGGCAGAUCUCCCCCAGCUCCAGCUGGGCCCUUUCCAUGCUGCAGACAUGUGACACCUGCAUUGAUCAGCUUUGGGGUUGCUUUCUGUCUUCUGGAGCUGCACGAGACAGUUGGGACACGAAGAUCCAAACAGCAGUUGGAGUUGCCUGGGAGAACAUGGAUGGUUUUGCUUGCUUAGGGAGAGCCAGGUGAGAAAGGGAAAACUGCACAACAGUUUGGAAGAGCUGACUGAUCAUCUGUGAGCAGGGAAUUCACCUCACUGUAGAGGUCUCACUCCAGGUCUUUCCAAAACCUCAGCCUUAGCAUGAGAUCCAGGCUGUGCUUAAGAUCUCUGGGAAGAACUCUGUGGUAGAGGAGAUUUCCUGCUGCAAAACUACAGCUUACUUAUACUUCUAAAAAAAGAAGACUAUAUAAAGAUGGGGGAAAUGGGUCAUGUGAAAUCUAGCUGUAGAUUAUCAUUUAAAAUUACUACCUGCAAUCACAUUAACCCAUUUUAGACCAAUUUCAGUUUUACACAGAAAAAGACACAAUUUAGAUCAAGUAUGCCAUUUUUAUAUAGUCUCAAGGGUAAUUAUGCUUGUGUUUUUUUUUUUUUUUUUUUUUUUGGUUUUGGUUUUCUUUUCAUUCUGUGUAAAUCAACUGGACUUUUCAGUACUGUAAUUAAAGUCAACAUUAUUUAUGUGACAAGUUGAAUUCCUCCUGUUGAAGGAAUUCUACGAUAAAAUGACACUGAAAUUCCUGGUGAAAACCUACAGGAGACAUUUGAAAAAUCGCACUGUGAAUUUUCUCUUUCGAACCAUUUUCCAGAUAUAUUUGAAGCAUCUGGAUUAUGGAAUUUAGCCUGGUCAUCAUAAAGCACUUGAGUGAAGGGACAGGGUUUGAAGGUUUGAGCCACUUUGCACAGUUGAGGAAGCUUUGAAGUUCCUCUGCUUGCAAUGAACUCUGUGUUCCUCCUGCAAAGUUCUGUCACCCUCUUACAUUUUCGUCACCUUUCCAGAUUAGGGGAAAAAAAAAAAGCUUAAGUGGGGGAAAAUGAAAGUUCUUUUAAGAUCUUGCUGAGGCUGAAAUGUAGAGGGAAUCAAAUCACUGCUUUGUUCCUGUCUUUAGCUGGGGACAAAACCAGAGAUGAUCUUUCUUAAACAUGAUAGCCAUAAAAGUUAUUUUGCUUUCUUUGCUGGUUCUACUUACAGUUAAAAAUUACUCUGUGGGAUUUUUCUCUGUAGUUUUGAAAAGGUCUGAAGUUGAACUUUAAAAAUCUGAAAUUUUGUAUCUGAAUUCUUGAAACCCUUUGCACAAUUAAAAUAUUUUUCCUUCCUAUAACUUGUUUCCAACCAAACAUUAGCUUGGCUACCAUAUAAAAGGGGAUAUUCUUGUGCUGUAAGGUGUGGAAAAUGUAAAUACCUGCCAAAUUCUGAGACAAUGAGACACAAAGGCCACUGAGAAUGAAGAGAGAAAAGGAGAGAAAAAUGGAAGAUACGGCAGUUUAUUCUUUUUAGUAAUGAUAGUUGCCAAACAUACCUUAAUGUCUGAGAUUUCUGAUGUUUGUUGGCUUUUUUACUGUCAUCAGGUGAGUGAAUAUGACCUUUAUGCAAAAUAAACCGAGUACAAUUUUUUUUCAAACUAAAAAUAACCUCUUAAUUUUCAACUUGUGUUAAAGAAACCUUUUUCCAGAGUUCUCUGCUGUCCUGCCAUAUAAUUGAAGUGAA